rnacentral:lncRNA from 1 species
GACUGAUCGCACAAAUUACCCAUUUAAGGCGGGAAUGCGCCGAUCCAGCACCAAAAUUUUAUUAAAGAUAUAUUUCUGCUAUUGCUAUAAUAAACAAAUAAUAAUAAUAAAAAAAUCAAAGAUUUCUCCCUUUUUCACAACUAAACCUAAAAGCUUUAAGGGUUUAUUCCUUUCCCUUUUCUUCUCCUGGAAAAACCUUCGUCACACCACCGGACCACCACCAUUCUUGGUGGCCAGCGACGCACGAAAAUGAACCUUUCGACCCUGUUCCAAGGUAAGUUCGAGUAAGCCCUUUUCCUUCAUUUUCGGAUCUAAAAAGAAUGAAAGAAAAGCAAAAUAAAAACUAGACCAAAAUAGCAAAAUCCCUUGAAAUCACCUUAUCGAAACUUUUUUUUAUAGAAUCUGCGUGUCUCUGUAUUAUAUUUAUGUGGAAAAAAAGAUCCCCUUACACUGUUUACAAUCGGCUUUAUAUAGCCGCAAUAAAAAUAAAAAUUACAAAUUUCUGAUUUUCUGCUUUAUUUGUUACUGCUAUUUUUUUGCUGUUAUUUGGCUGUCAAAUUUGUUAUUCUAUUUUGUAGGUACAGCUAAAGGGUGGCGCGUGUGGAGGUCGUUGUGGAGGUGGCUUGCGGUAGUCGAAAGUUAGUGUUACCCAUGUUGAAAAUUUAUUUAUUUUUUGGGCCAUUCGGGCCUAAGUUUUUAAUCAUUUUGGGCUUGUAUUUGGGUAAGGUUUGGUCUGUAAAAAACAGGCCAAUUGGGCCGUGUUUAUUUGGGUUUUGUAAUGUUGGACUUUGGACCUUAUUUUGUUUUAUAGUUAUGCCCGGGCAGAUUGGGCCUCUUACAAUUAUCAUUAUUAUUACUAUUAUUAUUAUUAUUUUAAAAUUAUUUUUACAAACUUUUCAUUCAUUUAUUUAAUAUUAGGAUUUUAACUCCAAAAUUUUAGUUUUUUUUACUUUACUAUUUUUCUUAUAUUUAUUUUACUUGUACGUAUAUUUUUACCAUUAUUAUUUUGUUUAUAUUAUUUCAUAUAUUGCAUUACGAGAUGUACCUUUAAUUUCAUUUGUAUUUUAAAGUGGUUCUCGAAUUUUCAAUGCUUUUAUAAAUAAUUUUCUCUUAUGUUAUUCGUGC